rnacentral:tRNA from 1 species
UGGGUCGUCGCCAAGUGGUAAGGCAGCGGGGUUUGGUCCCGCCAUUCCUAGGUGCGAAUCCUAGCGACCCAG